AUCUCUGCAAGGAGAAACACCUUUUUAGAUCUUUUAGAUGCUGCUUCUUCAAUGCAAGGAAAGGAAAUAACCCCAGCGAGGUACUCUUCAGGGACACAGGUCUAGUACAAGAGAACUCUUGACGGCUACUAAGUUCAGCCAGUCUUAAAAAACUGUGCUGUUUCUACAAAACUUUAACUACAGUAGUUUAUAAGGAUGCCAACGAAAGCUGAGGGUGUAGAGCAAAAUAGUUCUAAGCUUCAGUUAAACUUCUUUAGGUAAGAUCUUAUUUACUUUUCCUUUCUUAAUUUUCCUCCCUAAAAGAUAAACUAAUACUCUUAAAUGGUCUUUCAGUAUAGUGGUUCUUACGUAGUUUAACAUAGCUAUAAAUUGAGUUUAACAAUUUAUAAACUCAAGAGAAUAAUUUUUAUAAACCCUGUUUUCCAAUCUGUCAUUUACUUAAAUUAUUUUGGUUGUUUUUCCCUUUUUUUCCUUCUUUUCCCACCCCCUCCCCCUCCAUGUGAAGAUUUGGGUGCUUAACAUAUCAUUUUUUUCCCUGCCGGAAUUUUAGCAUUGAUAUGAACCAUGGACAAGUAUAUUCUGCUGCCACAAAGACUGUAAAGUGCUUCAUUUCAACAGCUGAGGCAAGCCAAGUGAUCAUUAAUAAAGCUUUUCUUGGUUCCUUCAGUGGUGUUGGUAGUAAAAUGGAAGGUGUCUUGCUGCAGGUAACUAAUGAAGAAGUGGUCAACCACAGAGUCUUCAAGAAAUAAGAAAUUCUGUACCAUCUGAAAGUAGUUCUUGUUGGUGCCUUCAUUUAAAAAGCACUCUUUAAAAUAAAAGGGAAAUGUUUUCUGAUAAAACAAACAUUUAGUUGAGGUUCUUGAUAUAAAACAAUUACAAAAUGAGUGUUGUUUGUAAAACAGUAACAUCAAAUUGGCUAGAGAGAUAAAUGUAUCAUGUUUUAAAUUAGGUUUUGUGAGUAGACAGAUUACAAUUCUAUUUUAAAUAUAAAGUUUAUAAAAUAAAUACUUUUUGUAUCCAAAUACUUGGUGUAAUGUUUACACAUAAAAUGUGUGAAUCUUGUUCUAUAAAUAUUUGGUUGUCUAAAAGAUCACCAUCCCCUAAAUUUUUAAAAGCAGUUUCACAAAGCUAUGCAUAUUUUAAUAUUAACAGGUAAAUGAGAAGAGCAUUGUGGACAUUAUUGGCUGUCCCCAAUAAAAUGCUGUUCAUUAUGCACUGUA
rnacentral:lncRNA from 1 species